rnacentral:rRNA from 1 species
UACGAAGGGGGCUAGCGUUGCUCGGAAUCACUGGGCGUAAAGGGUGCGUAGGCGGGUCUUUAAGUCAGGGGUGAAAUCCUGGAGCUCAACUCCAGAACUGCCUUUGAUACUGAAGAUCUUGAGUUCGGGAGAGGUGAGUGGAACUGCGAGUGUAGAGGUGAAAUUCGUAGAUAUUCGCAAGAACACCAGUGGCGAAAGCGGCUCACUGGCCCGAUACUGACGCUGAUGCACGAAAGCGUGGGGAGCAAACAGG